UACGUAGGGUGCGAGCGUUAAUCGGAAUUACUGGGCGUAAAGCGUGCGUAGGCGGUUCUCCAAGUCCGUUGUGAAAUCCCCGGGCUUAACCUGGGAAUGGCAGUGGAAACUAGGGGACUUGAAUCUGGCAGAGGGGGGUGGAAUUCCAUGUGUAGCAGUGAAAUGCGUAGAGAUGUGGAGGAACACCGAUGGCGAAGGCAGCCCCCUGGGCUGAGAUUGACGCUGAGUGCACGAAAGCGUGGGGAGCAAACAGG
rnacentral:rRNA from 1 species